rnacentral:lncRNA from 1 species
AGUGGAGAGUUGGUCGAGAAAAGAUCUUGAAAAAAUUUUAUGUUCUCUACUUAGCCACUCUAUUGGAUAUUAUUAAUACCUCAUGAUAUAAUUUGCUAAUUUUCUAGCUGAAUAUUAUUUGCCUUUAAAAUUGUCUAACAGAACACUUAUUCCUAAUCAAGAAAGUAUAUGAUACUAACUUUUUUCUUACUCAAGGAUGAGUAAAGUUCAAGUUGGGGGGUGAGAUCGAUACACUAAUAUAUCAUAAGAAGUAUUAAAACUAUUGAGAAAAAAGGAUAUGGGGGUGACCUAAAAAAGGGAGAUUGAGAGAGAAAAAUUAUAUAGAAAUUUUUCUAUAGAGAGGA